CGACUUAUCUCAUUAACAAAUAAAACGAGAGCGACGGGCGAUGUGUACAUAUCUCAGAACCAAUUAUCACAAAAACAAUCUUCAAAACAUUACAAUCAAAUCCAAUUUCAUGCCAGUAAUUAAAACCAACAAUCCAAAUCAACAAAUAACAAUGUAACCCACCAAUACACUUAGAGAAAGCUGCACCUUGACCUGAAAUUAAACCAAAUAAAGAAACGAGAAAAUUAUAUAACUCUAAAAAGAUAAUCAAUAAACGGCGGUAUACAAACCAAUUAAACAACUAAGUAAGGUCCAACGCGGACUAUCGAUAACGAGACAGGUUCCUCUGAACGGAAUAAGAUACCGCCAAAUUCUUUAAGUUUCAAGAACAUAACUAAUACUACUCAGGCAAAACAUUAACAUCCAAAAAUAAUAGGGUAUCUAAUCCUAGUUU
rnacentral:rRNA from 1 species